GACUACAAGGGUAUCUAAGCCCGUUCGCUACCCUAGCUUUCGCUCCUCAGCGUCAGAAAAGACCCAGUAGGCCGCUUUCGCCACCGGUGUUCCAGAUGAUAUCAACGCAUUUCACCGCUCCACCAUCUGUUCCGCCUACCUCUGUCUCCCUCAAGCCUGACGGUUUGAAGCGCAGUUCCUCGGUUGAGCCGAGGGAUUUCACACCUCACCUGUCGGGCCGCCUACGAACUCUUUAAGCCCAGUGAUACCGAAUAACGUUCGGACGGUUCGUCUUACCGCGGCUGCUGGCACGAACUUAGCCCGUCCUUCCUCCUAGGAUCACUCAAGUAAAGGGGAGAACCCCCUUACAUUUGUUCCCCUACGACAGCGGUUUACAACCCGAAGGCCUUCAUCCCGCACGCGGCGUCGCUCGGUCAGGCUUGCGCCCAUUGCCGAAGAUUCUCGACUGCAGCCCCCCGUAGG
rnacentral:rRNA from 1 species